rnacentral:rRNA from 1 species
AAGUCGGAAUCGCUAGUAAUCGUGAAUCAGAAUGUCACGGUGAAUACGUUCCCGGGCCUUGUACACACCGCCCGUCACACCAUGGGAGUGGACUGCACCAGAAGUGGUUAGCCUAACUUUGGAGGGCGAUCACCACGGUGUGGUUCAUGACUGGGGUGAAGUCGUAACAAGGUAGCCGUAGGGGAACCUGCGGCUGGAUCACCUCCUUA